UACGUAGGUGGCGAGCGUUAUCCGGAUUUAUUGGGCGUAAAGAGUGCGCAGGCGGUUUGCUAAGUCUAAGAUUAAAGUCCGAAGCUUAACUUCGGUUCGUUUUAGAAACUGGCAGACUAGAGUAUGGUAGAGGCAAAUGGAAUUUCUAGUGUAGCGGUAAAAUGCGUAGAUAUUAGAAGGAACACCAGUGGCGAAGGCGAUUUGCUGGGCCAUUACUGACGCUCAUGCACGAAAGCGUGGGGAGCAAAUAG
rnacentral:rRNA from 1 species